rnacentral:lncRNA from 14 species
GUGACAUUGGUGUUGAGAGUGCAGCUUCCACAGCUCACACUGAAGGCUUUGGGGACCCAGGCGGGCAGGAGUUGUUUUAAGAUACAUGGUCAUUUGACAUAUCAGUGCUAAGUUCAAUCUUGCUACAAAAGGAGGCCAUGUGUACUUCCUGACCCUGAAAGCAAGGUGGGUGG